rnacentral:rRNA from 1 species
AUUAACAUGAGAGUUUGAUCCUGGCUCAGGACGAACGCUGGCGGCGUGCCUAACACAUGCAAGUCGAG